rnacentral:lncRNA from 1 species
GUCAGAUGGGGGUGAAGAUACAAUCCGCUGAGGUGUGGAGGAGGUCCCGCACCUUCACCUGCAGAACAGGUGCAGACAGAUGUCAAAGAAACUGUUUCCAACGCCAUCCCCUUUUCCUCUUCACUGUACAACCUGUCCACACCAUGGCGCUGUGCUGGCGAUAGAAGACACGAGUGUUCGGAGAACCUUUGGACCGAAGACUGUCGCCUUUCUGGCCAGGUCCCCUGUUGGACCCUGGUUCCCCGAGGCACAUGGGAGUGGGAUGGAUUGAUCCUGCCUGGGCUGCGGCCUCUACUCUGUUCUCCCUCUUUUCUUGCCUUCCCUGAUUCUCGUCGGCCCAGGUUUUCCUUGGUCUGGCUCACAGUCCUCCAGAACGUCCUUCACAGCAAAUGUUUCCCAGUUCGUCCAGGACCACCUUGGCGGGGACGUAGGAUCCUCUUGGCUCCUCUGGCAGGAAUCCCUGGACGAGGCUUGGACUCCGGCACAGGCCCUCCUAUGGUUUCAGGUGUGCUUUGCUUGUGCUUCGCUUUCUUGGGGGGAUCCUCAGUGGCCCUCGCCAGCAUGCCUGGAUAUCCCUUUUGGUCUUGGAUUCACCCCAGAAGACCUCUGAGACACUCUCUCCACA